rnacentral:lncRNA from 1 species
GAUUGUAAAUCCCUUGAGAACUGAGUUUGACCUCUGCAACUUAUGAAUACACUUAUCAUACGCUGCAGGAUUCUAAGAUGACCUCCAGGAUCCCUACUUGCUGUACAAUCCUCAGGACUGUGAAGAUGAUGGAUUUUACUGCUGUGAUUAAGUUAUAUGGCGCAUUCGACUUGAAGAAAGGGAGAUUAUUCUGGGAAUAUGUAGCAGUACAAAGUGCUAACGUCGUGUGGAUUUGAACCCCCAUCCUCGAGAGCAAAAGAAGGCUGGGGAUUGCCAAAUGUCAACUGAGCUGUGUCAGCCAUGGGACCCCAAGUCUCCAGCCAUGUCCAGUUCUCUGCAGACACUGAAUGCAUGUGCCAAGGCAAGCUGUCCACAACUGCUGCUGGAAGAGUGGUGCAGAGCCAACAGUUGGAAAUAUUGGUCACCUCAGCCUACGUGUGGGCCCAGUUCAUGAUGCAGUUGGAGCAUGUUAACCUGUGGUUGAAAUGACAGAGCAGGCAUAGGUACUAACAGAGGUAAAUCACGUCUCUCAAGCAAAAUACAGGCUAACCUUUCAUCCCUGGAUAACAAUGCAGCCAACAAGGGAUUUUGCCCUGGAUGAUGGUACCACACCUUCUCAGCUCCCCAUGGUUCUUUUGAGUCCUGUAUCUGUGCCAAAGUCACAGGGGAACUCAUAAUAGGUCACACAAGCAAUACAUAUAUUCCCUGGAGGAGGGUGCCUUCCCUGGCCAUUCCCCUACAAACAGUCAACUGCAGGGGCCAUGUAUUGAAUACCCAAGGAGUGACA